rnacentral:rRNA from 1 species
UGAGUAACCUGCCCUUAACUCUGGGAUAAGCCUGGGAAACUGGGUCUAAUACCGGAUAUGACUCCUCAUCGCAUGGUGGGGGGUGGAAAGCUUUAUUGUGGUUUUGGAUGGACUCGCGGCCUAUCAGCUUGUUGGUGAGGUAAUGGCUCACCAAGGCGACGACGGGUAGCCGGUCUGAGAGGGUGGCCGGCCACACUGGGACUGAGACACGGCCCAGACUCCUACGGGAGGCAG